AUAAUUGUCAGGUGAGCCGGGACAGCCUUCUUCCUCCGCCCAGCCGCCUCAGUGACCAUCGUCAAGUCUGCUACAGGAGGAGACAUUUUUCAAAAUAACCUGUCCCUUUCCUCUCAGGUUAUGAAAAGAUUACUUAAUUGUAUUAUUAUUCUCUAAAUUUGUAAUUUAGGACUCCGCAUGUGCUAGUAGUAGCAUUAAGCCUAUCAGAGACUGUAUGAAUUCAAGUUUUCAUAUUAAUAAAUGAAAAGAAAAAAAUUUUAUGAGUUUUAAA